rnacentral:rRNA from 1 species
GAUGAAGCCCUUCGGGGUGGAUUAGUGGCGAACGGGUGAGUAACACGUGGGCAAUCUGCCCUGCACUCUGGGACAAGCCCUGGAAACGGGGUCUAAUACCGGAUAUGACUGUCCGCCGCAUGGUGGAUGGUGUAAAGCUCCGGCGGUGCAGGAUGAGCCCGCGGCCUAUCAGCUUGUUGGUGAGGUAGUGGCUCACCAAGGCGACGACGGGUAGCCGGCCUGAGAGGGCGACCGGCCACACUGGGACUGAAACACGGGCCCAACUCCCUACGGGAGGCAGCAGUGGGGAAUAUUGCACAAUGGGCGAAAGCCUGAUGCAGCGACGCCGCGUGAGGGAUGACGGCCUUCGGGUUGUAAACCUCUUUCAGCAGGGAAGAAGCGAGAGUGACGGUACCUGCAGAAGAAGCGCCGGCUAACUACGUGCCAGCAGCCGCGGUAAUACGUAGGGCGCAAGCGUUGUCCGGAAUUAUUGGGCGUAAAGAGCUCGUAGGCGGCUUGUCACGUCGGUUGUGAAAGCCCGGGGCUUAACCCCGGGUCUGCAGUCGAUACGGGCAGGCUAGAGUUCGGUAGGGGAGAUCGGAAUUCCUGGUGUAGCGGUGAAAUGCGCAGAUAUCAGGAGGAACACCGGUGGCGAAGGCGGAUCUCUGGGCCGAUACUGACGCUGAGGAGCGAAAGCGUGGGGAGCGAACAGGAUUAGAUACCCUGGUAGUCCACGCCGUAAACGGUGGGCACUAGGUGUGGGCAACAUUCCACGUUGUCCGUGCCGCAGCUAACGCAUUAAGUGCCCCGCCUGGGGAGUACGGCCGCAAGGCUAAAACUCAAAGGAAUUGACGGGGGCCCGCACAAGCGGCGGAGCAUGUGGCUUAAUUCGACGCAACGCGAAGAACCUUACCAAGGCUUGACAUACACCGGAAACGUCUGGAGACAGGCGCCCCCUUGUGGUCGGUGUACAGGUGGUGCAUGGCUGUCGUCAGCUCGUGUCGUGAGAUGUUGGGUUAAGUCCCGCAACGAGCGCAACCCUUGUCCCGUGUUGCCAGCAGGCCCUUGUGGUGCUGGGGACUCACGGGAGACCGCCGGGGUCAACUCGGAGGAAGGUGGGGACGACGUCAAGUCAUCAUGCCCCUUAUGUCUUGGGCUGCACACGUGCUACAAUGGCCGGUACAAUGAGCUGCGAUACCGUGAGGUGGAGCGAAUCUCAAAAAGCCGGUCUCAGUUCGGAUUGGGGUCUGCAACUCGACCCCAUGAAGUCGGAGUCGCUAGUAAUCGCAGAUCAGCAUUGCUGCGGUGAAUACGUUCCCGGGCCUUGUACACACCGCCCGUCACGUCACGAAAGUCGGUAACACCCGA